GACCCGUCUUGAAACACGGACCAAGGAGUCUAACAUGUGCGCGAGUCGCUCGGUCUUGUUUAGGCCAGAGAGGCGCAAUGAAAGUAAAGUUGAUUGAGUUACGAUCCUCAUGUGGUUAUGCCUCAGUGCGUAACAGUGGGGCGCAGUAACAGCCCGCCAAUUUCGCUUAUUGUCGAUCUGGCGGAGUUGUAGCGUACACGUUGGUACCCGAAAGAUGGUGAACUAUGCCUGGGCAAGACGAAGCCAGAGGAAACUCUGGUGGAGGUCUGUAGCGAUUCUGACGUGCAAAUCGAUCGUCAGACCUGGGUAUAGGGGCGAAAGACUAAUCGAACCAUCUAGUAGCUGGUUCCUUCCGA
rnacentral:rRNA from 1 species